rnacentral:lncRNA from 1 species
AGUUACCCUGCUGGAACACCUGCUCGGGGAGGACAUCAGAAGAACCUCAACGUCCAUCAGUGGGAUGAAGCUUCUACUUAAAGGGCAGCUGGGAAGCCUCCCGCCUUUUGUUCACAUCCCACUCCUUGUUUUCCUGCAUGAAGCCAGGUAACCCCCGGUGGAGAUAGGCACCUGUGAGAAGUAUCACUGCUUCGUGGGUCAGGGGCUUGGACCCACCAGGGCUGUGUCACCUGCGGACCAUGUGAACUCAACUCCCACCCCCCGGCCCCUGCCCAGCCUCCCCUACCAGGCUCGAUGUAAAGUGAUGGUGAAGUGAAAACAGAUUUGGGGCCCUUGCCACCUCUUUCUGGUUGGUAACUUUGUUUCUUGGACAACAAUGCAGAGUUUGAAGCCCAUCCAGGGACAACAUUCCAUCUGCCCCCUGCAAGUUCCGGUGCGGUCUUCGCUAAGAGGCCAAGCAAGAUGAUGUAAUCACCUGAUGAGUUCCUCCUGCCCACUGCACAGACAAAACCAAUUCACUGAGACGACGGCAUUGCAAUAAAGAAAGAGCUUAAUUGACACAAGGUUGGCCACUCCUGUCUCAAAUCAAAUCAAUCUGAAAAUUUGGAGGCUAGGGUUUUUAAAGGAUACUUUGGUGGGCAGGGGGCUGGGGAAUGGGGGCUGCUGAUUGGUUGGGGAUGCAAUCACAGGGUUGUGGAAAUUGGUCCUUGUGCACCAAGUCCACUUCUGGGCGGGCUCCCCAGGACCGGCUGAGCCAAGAGUUGAAGGUCUGGGUGGGGCCAUCCGGUCAUCAGAAAUGCAGGUAAAGACAUCUCAAAAGGCCAAUCUUAGGUUCCACAAUAGUGAAUUGGGACAGUUGCAAAUCUUGUAUCCUCUGGAAUAAUGGCUGGUUGUCAUUUAACUAUGCCUGCGUCUUAGCGAAAUUUAGGCCCCUCUCAUCCUCCUAACCUGGUGGCCUUUCUUUUCUUUUCAUUUUUUUUUAAGAAACAGGUUCUUACUCUGUCCCCCAGGCAGGAAUGCAGUGGUGUGAUCGUGGCUCACUGCAGCUUAAAACUCCUGGGCUCAAGUGAUCCUCCCACUU